rnacentral:rRNA from 1 species
AGAACGAACGCUGGCGGCAUGCCUAACACAUGCAAGUCGAACGCUCUUGGGGCUUCGGUCUCAGGGGAGUGGCGCACGGGUGAGUAGCGCGUGGGAACCUGCCCUGUUGUGGGGGAUAACCGAGGGAAACUUCGGCUAAUACCGCAUAAGCCGGUUGUCUUGAAGGAGAUGGCCGGGAAAGAUUUAUCGCGACAGGAGGGGCCCGCGUCGGAUUAGCUAGUUGGUGGGUAACGGCCCACCAAGGCGGUGAUCCGUAGCUGGUCUGAGAGGAUGAUCAGCCACACUGGGACUGAGACACGGCCCAGACUCCUACGGGAGGCAGCAGUGGGGAAUAUUGGACAAUGGGCGCAAGCCUGAUCCAGCAAUGCCGCGUGAGUGAUGAAGGCCUUAGGGUUGUAAAGCUCUUUCGCCCGCGACGAUGAUGACGGUAGCGGGAGAAGAAGCCCCGGCUAACUUCGUGCCAGCAGCCGC